AUAUUUCAAAUUUUCACUAAAAUAAUUCAAAAUAAAAAAUCUAAUUUUAUUAAUACAAUAUAAUUUUACGAUGAAAAAAUUGGAUGGAACCCUUGCGCCCUUAACUUCAACCCUGUCUGGCUGGGAAAAAGAAAUGACACAGCUACUCAAGUGAAUUUCAACUUCCAACCUGUGUUACUAAACGGUAAGGUUUCCAUUUCACAAAAGAUAAAUCUUCUCCUUUGUUAUUCACGGCUCAACUCAUAAAAAAUAAUUCAGUUCAUUAUUUACUUGGAUAUUGCUCAGGGACUCAUUACAAAAAAAUGGAGGCAUUCUCGCAGUCAAAAAACAAUUAAUAGGAAUGAGAAAACCUCAAGAAUUGUGUCAAAUGUUUAUUUCCCUCGUCGAAUUUGAUGGACAGAAGAAGCUAGCGAUGGUCCUCUUACUCAUUUCG
rnacentral:lncRNA from 1 species